CCCCCACCGCAUCGCCUUCCACACCGGACCCCACGGCUAUUUGCCUCCCCCCAGCCUCAUCGCCUAUUCGCCUCCUCCCUGGCCCUGGCAACAAUGACGACGGCGGCGACGGACUCUGUCGAUGACGACAGUGACAGCGGCGGUCGCGGACGAGUGUGGCGACAAGGGCAGCAGCGGCGGCGGAGGUCACGGACGAGGACGACGGCGAUCGAGGGCAGCGGCGGACACGGAAGAGGGAGGCAGCAGCAUUUGAGGGCGGCAGUGGACGCGGACGAGGGCAGCAGCGUUGGUCACGGCGAACGAGGGCUACAGCGCCGGUCUUAGGCAUAUUUGGUACUAAUAUGUUCUGUGAUUUAUCUGUUUUGCAGCUCUGAUGUGUAGAUGAGUAGCAUAUGACUCUCCGUCGCAAAUCGAUAAUGCCUAUUGCCUGUGAUUCUCCCGCAUGUCUAGCCGAAUAAUUGCAUCCUUCCUCACAAGCAUGGUGCAGCGCCACCAAGUCUCUCUCUCCAAAUCCAGGAAACUGCAAGGCAUCAACUGUGGCAAUUAAAUCAAUUAUCAAUUCCAUCAGCACACUUGAGUUUUCUCAGAAAUCGAUUUCUUCAACCUGCAUCCGGUUCCUGGCCACAGAUGUCUUCUCACAGUGUUUGGAGCAUCCGCAGAUUUGGUUCAUUGGUUUCGUUCAAGCUUCACUCUUUCAUUGUACUGUUAGGUGAUGUUUGAUGUUCUCUUUCAUGCUAUAUCUUGCAUUCCUACUUUCCCGUGGAUUUUAUAGCACUUACCUCUAAAUUUCGCCUUCAAUUUUCAGUUUUAUUUUUUUCUCGAAAACACUGGAGAGCUGCAUUUCAUUUCAUUUCAGUUUUAUUUUCUGUGAUGAGGUUUUUUUUUUCUUUAAUGCAAAGGUGAUUUAUCAAACUUUCAGAACUGCAAUAUGCUAUUCUCUGUUUAAUUCUUAUUAUCGGAAUAUACCAUAUUAUGCCAGUGUCAAUCAUAUCAAGCACUUUUAAUAUUAUGCCAGGGGCAAUCAUAUCAAGCACUUUUAAUCAAAGAACAAAUGAACGCAAUUCUCAGCAGCGUACAGUACCAGGCUUGAAUAUGAUCUGCUAAUUACACAAUAUCCAUUGCCUCCACGGUUUGAAACUAUCUGCUCACACUUCUAUGAACCCCGCAAUGCUCCUUUACUAAUCAAGUAAUCACUCCAGUUGGUAGCUAGAUUAGGGUUUGUACGAUACUUAAAAGGAGUUCAGAAGCAGCACACCACUUAAACAGGUAAAUAUACAGCAGUUUUUUUAUUAGAGAUUCAUUAAUUGUUGGAAAUUAAGAUGUUCAGGAAAUCACACAUUCACACUUGACAAGUUGAUAGCUACUUCUAGCUAUACAAAUGCACUAUCGCUGAAUUGAGAUCUGCUAUUUUCAAUGAAGAACUCCCAUUAUUCGCACCAGACUACAUGUAUAUAUUUGUACAACAUUCAUAUUGCCCUUCU